UACGUAGGGGGCUAGCGUUGUCCGGAAUCAUUGGGCGUAAAGCGCGUGUAGGCGGCCCGGUAAGUCCGCUGUGAAAGUCCAGGGCUCAACCCUGGGAUGCCGGUGGAUACUGUCGGGCUCGAGUCCGGAAGAGGCGAGUGGAAUUCCUGGUGUAGCGGUGAAAUGCGCAGAUAUCAGGAGGAACACCAAUGGCGAAGGCAGCUCGCUGGGACGUGACUGACGCUGAGACGCGAAAGCGUGGGGAGCAAACGGG
rnacentral:rRNA from 1 species